CCUACGGGAGGCUGCAGUGGGGAAUAUUGCACAAUGGGCGCAAGCCUGAUGCAGCCAUGCCGCGUGUGUGAAGAGGGCCUUCGGGUUGUAAAGCACUUUCAGCGGGGAGGAAGGCGUUAAGGUUAAUAACCUUGUCGAUUGACGUUACCCGCAGAAGAAGCACCGGCUAACUCCGUGCCAGCAGCCGCGGUAAUACGGAGGGUGCAAGCGUUAAUCGGAAUUACUGGGCGUAAAGCGCACGCAGGCGGUCUGUCAAGUCGGAUGUGAAAUCCCCGGGCUCAACCUGGGAACUGCAUUCGAAACUGGCAGGCUAGAGUCUUGUAGAGGGGGGUAGAAUUCCAGGUGUAGCGGUGAAAUGCGUAGAGAUCUGGAGGAAUACCGGUGGCGAAGGCGGCCCCCUGGACAAAGACUGACGCUCAGGUGCGAAAGCGUGGGGAGCAAACAGGAUUAGAUACCCGAGUAGUC
rnacentral:rRNA from 1 species